rnacentral:rRNA from 1 species
AUUGAACGCUGGCGGCAGGCCUAACACAUGCAAGUCGAACGAGUGGCGGACGGGUGAGUAAUGUCUGGGAAACUGCCCGAUGGAGGGGGAUAACUACUGGAAACGGUAGCUAAUACCGCGUACCAUAGGAUGAGCCCAAGUGGGAUUAGGUAGUUGUUGAGGUAAAGGCUCACCAAGCCUACGAUCUCUAGCUGGUCUGAGAGGAUGACCGGCCACACUGGGACUGAGACACGGCCCAGACUCCUACGGGAGGCAGCAGUGGGGAAUAUUGCGCAAUGGGGGCAACCCUGACGGAGCCAUGCCGCGUGAAUGAAGAAGGCCUUCGGGUUGUAAAGUUCUGUCGGUAGCGAGGCGUUAACUACAGAGGAAGCACCGGCUAACGCCGUGCCAGCAGCCGCGGUAAUAC